rnacentral:rRNA from 1 species
UACGUAGGGGGCAAGCGGUUUGUCCGGAUUUAUUGGGCUGUAAACGCACGCAGGCGGUGCGGUAGUUACAAGUGACAGGUGGUGGCUUAACUGCCACAGGACUUGAAAAACUGCCGCACUUGAGGGCUUGAGAGGGACGCGGAAUUCCAGGUGGAGCGGUGAAAUGCGCAGAUAUCAGGAGGAACACCGGUGGGCGAAGGCGGGGUCUCUGGGCCGAUACUGACGCUGGAGGAGCGAAAGCGUGGGGAGCGAACAGG